CCCAGUUUGCAGUCGUGUUGUGAUAAUAUGCUGAUAUAUUCACAGUUUACAUUCAUAGCCAUGUUUGUGUGAAUAUAGAAACAUUAUUGACGAUAUUAUAACGGAUGUAGUAGUGAAACACAGAAUAAUACAGUCUGACAAAAAAGGUUGAAAAAGAUUUUGAAAUCUUAUUACUAAACAAUACAUUUUGAAAAUGGAGAACGUUGGUAAUAUUAAAGAAAUUGUAAUCAAAGACAAGUCAGGAAAUGAUUUUAAGAUGAUUGAAGUUGACGGGGUUUAUCUAACGUCCGUAGGAGAAGAACUCGUGGGUAACAAACCGGAAGUUCAUUUUAGAAAAAUCAAGGAUCUCAAGAUACGAGACGAUGACGUCAUGAUAUGUGCUUAUCCAAAAGCAGGCACUCACUGGAUCUGGGAAGUUAUUCAAAUGUUACGAACUCAGUCUACAGAAUAUAACAAACAGAUCAAGGAGAAACAAAUGUUAAGAUUCGGCCACAUGGGGGGUAUAGACCAGGAACCGUCCCCACGUGUUCUUAAUUCACAUUUAUGGCCGCGGCAUUUACCCGCAUAGAUGUUCUCAAAGAAAACCAAAAUUAUUUAUCUGUUUCGGAACCCAAAAGACACUAUUGUGUCGUAUUUCUUCCAUGUCAGCGGUGUACAGCCUAUCUUAAAGUACUAUGGAAAUAUCAGAGAUUUCGUAGAUAUGUCUUUGUAUAAAACUUUACCGUAUGGAACGUGGUAUGACCAUGUUCUAGAGUGGGAGAAGUUCUUUGAAACAACUGAAAAUCCAUUUUAUCAGUUUAGCUAUGAAGAUAUGCAGGAGAAUCCAAUAGAACAUGUAAAAGGCUUAGCUAAAUUUCUAGAUUUGCCAGCGUCUGAUGAGUUAUGUAAAGCUAUAGUUGAAGCCUGUAGCUUUAAGAAAUUAAAGAGAGCUAACGAGGAAAUUAAAGAUGAUUUUUUGA